rnacentral:rRNA from 1 species
UACGGAGGGGGCUAGCGUUGUUCGGAAUUACUGGGCGUAAAGCGCACGUAGGCGGCUUUGCAAGUCAGAGGUGAAAGCCCGGGGCUCAACCCCGGAAUUGCCUUUGAGACUGCAUCGCUAGAAUUGUGGAGAGGUAAGUGGAAUUCCUGGUGUAGCGGUGAAAUGCGCAGAUAUCAGGAGGAACACCGGUGGCGAAGGCGGGUCUCUGGGCCGAUAUUGACGCUGAGGAGCGAAAGCGUGGGGAGCAAACAGG